CCUACGGGGGGCAGCAGUGGGGAAUAUUGCACAAUGGGCGCAAGCCUGAUGCAGCCAUGCCGCGUGUAUGAAGAAGGCCUUCGGGUUGUAAAGUACUUUCAGCGGGGAGGAAGGCGAUAAGGUUAAUAACCUUGUCGAUUGACGUUACCCGCAGAAGAAGCACCGGCUAACUCCGUGCCAGCAGCCGCGGUAAUACGGAGGGUGCAAGCGUUAAUCGGAAUUACUGGGCGUAAAGCGCACGCAGGCGGUCUGUCAAGUCGGAUGUGAAAUCCCCGGGCUCAACCUGGGAACUGCAUUCGAAACUGGCAGGCUGGAGUCUUGUAGAGGGGGGUAGAAUUCCAGGUGUAGCGGUGAAAUGCGUAGAGAUCUGGAGGAAUACCGGUGGCGAAGGCGGCCCCCUGGACAAAGACUGACGCUCAGGUGCGAAAGCGUGGGGAGCAAACAGGAUUAGAUACCCCUGUAGUC
rnacentral:rRNA from 1 species